GAGCGGAAAGGCUCCUUCGGGAGUACUCGAGCGGCGAACGGGUGAGUAACACGUGGGUAAUCUGCCCAGGACACAGGAAUAACCAGUGGAAACGCUGGCUAAUGCCUGAUGAUGUGCCGGCCCCUCGGGGCGGGUACCAAAGGUAGCUUCGGCCUCCGGUCUUGGAUGAGCCCGCGGCCCAUUAGCUAGUUGGUGAGGUAACGGCUCACCAAGGCUACGAUGGGUAGCUGGUCUGAGAGGACGAUCAGCCACACUGGGACUGAGACACGGCCCAGACUCCUACGGGAGGCAGCAGUGGGGAAUCUUGCGCAAUGGGCGAAAGCCUGACGCAGCAACGCCGCGUGCGGGAAGAAGGUCUUCGGGUUGUCAACCGCUUUCAGCAGGGACGAAGGCAACUGGGUUAAUAGCCCAGAAGUUGACGGUACUUGCAGAAGAAGGUCCGGCUAACUACGUG
rnacentral:rRNA from 1 species